AAAGCUUUAAGUUAAAAAAACUAUUAACCUUCAAAGUUAAAAAUACUGAAAAGUAAGCUUUA
rnacentral:tRNA from 2 species